UAGGUUGGCGUCGGCGAUCCCUUGGGAAUGCACGCCGCACAUGCGGUUGUUUCGGGAAUGGGCGGAAUACGUACUGCCGGAGAUCUGGUAGCGCGUCUGC
rfam:Desulfobacteraceae bacterium 4572_123 ex4572_123_scaffold_3641, whole genome shotgun sequence.